rnacentral:rRNA from 1 species
UACAGAGACUGCAAGCGUUAUUCGGAUUCACUGGGCGUAAAGGGUGCGCAGGCGGCCGAGUGUGUGAGGCGUGAAAGCCCGGGGCUCAACCCCGGAAUUGCACCUCAAACUACACGGCUAGAGCAUUGGAGAGGGUAGCGGAAUUCACGGUGUAGCAGUGAAAUGCGUAGAUAUCGUGAGGAACACCAGAGGCGAAGGCGGCUACCUGGACAAUUGCUGACGCUCAGGCACGAAAGCGUGGGGAGCAAAA